GCUAGCCUGCUUGCUGGCUGUGUUGGAAACGGCAUAGAUAACCGUAAGCGUUAGCUAACUAGACUAGCUAGUACGCAACAUCGGCGUUCUGUCUAGCUUGAUAAUAAAUUACCGUUAUACCAGACGUAUUUUCAGAACCGUAUAUAUUUGGAAAUGGUGAAUAUACCAAUACUAAGCUACGUAUGACGCUGUAGUAUAUACGGUUAGCUAGCCGUCGGCGAUUCGGCUAAUACCGAAUUCACUUACCAUUGUCGGCUCCGUUGACAACUCGAGGCCGCUGCUUCAGGGGGAAAGCGACUGGGAGACGAGGGAAAGAGAAAUAGACGACAGGGAAUUAGAACAUAUGUAUGGCCUUAAUAACUUAUAGCACGGGUAUCUCUGUAUACAAACGUAUUUGCACUAUUAUACUAUUUGUUAAGCGAGAUUACUGGUUAGCUAUCUAGCUAACAAGUCGGAGAAAAUAAAUGCGAGCUUGCCAAUAAAACAAGCCAUUUAGCUGCUAACUGCUAGCGAAUUAUUUCAACCUGCCACUAGCAUGCUAGCUUAGCUGAGAAUAAGGUAACGUAGACUAACGUUAAAACAAUAGUAGCAAGCAAGUGUUUUGCUCACCCUCCUUUUCUGAACGCCUCAAGCAAGAAGAGCCACAUAUGUGUUCAAGACUGAGGGAGAAAUGGCAGAUGGCCAUUUUCUAAAUUCAUCAUCUGUCUCCAGAGACCGGGGGAUGGACGAGCCCGUCCUGGAGCAUAAUCCCCACAGGCCAGGGCCUCAGCAGCAUCCCACAUGCAUAUUCUAUUACAUGUACAGCUCUGCUGUCUACACAAAGCCAAAUUCAGUUUUUGAAAGAAUGAGACUGCCUUUGUUAAUGAAUUUAGGGUGGAAGACUUAAUCAGUGUGUGUGUGUGUGUGUGUAUGUGCGCAUGCGCCAUUUGACUUCACUGACAGCCUAUGCUUACUGCGUGACUUGAUGUUCAUGGCUGUGGACAGCUGAUACUUAAUGAGAAUUUUACCUUAUCUGAUCUGUGUUCUGUAGUUGUUUCAACGACCUUCACUGUGCAAUUAUUGUACGUCACUUUGGAUAAAAGCGUCUGCAAAAUAAAGUGUAAUGUGCAGUAAUGUAAUUUAAUGUGUGUGUGUGUCUGUGUACCCUUUAGCAGUGUGACUCAUUCAGUGUGCAUAUGGUGUUGUGACUCUCAUUGCUGUGUGAAUUGGUGGUGAACCUCUGUCAGUGUGGCGUGAUUCGGUUGGUGUGGAUGCGUGUGUUUGUGCCUUACAGUGCGGUGUGAUUCAGUCGGGAAUCUCUCAGUGUUGCGCGAAUCCUUCACUGUUUGUGCUGCGGCAACUGGGUGCUCCGUGACUACACAGCAUAUGCUGCCGGGACUCCAUCUGUCAGGUGAUUGACAUGUUUCAGGAUAAAACUAUCACAGUGCAAUGAUGUGCACUGCACAGAUAAAGAAACAUCAGAGUCAGGUGAUUGCAGCCUAUUAUUCAAUAACUGCCAGAUAUCAGUCAAUUAACCAGUCAGAAUUUUAUUAAUAUUUAGCAUUUCAUUUGGCAGCUUUGAGUUUGCAUCACUGAAAAUGAGUGCCAUUGUAACAUUAUAUUACAUUUAAUUGGCAGAUGCUUUUAUCCAAAGUGACGUACAAUAAGUGCAUAUCGAAGGUCAUUGGAACAACUACAAAACAGAUCUGAUAAGGUACAAUACUCAUUAUGUAACAGUUAUCCAUAGCCAUGAACAUCAAGUCCAGUUCACACAGUAAAUAGCCUUGGAGAGAAAGUUAUGAAAAAGGCAAAACAGAAUAGAAACAUUUUAAUUCUACAAUAUAAAGGUAGUGUGAAUGAUAAAAGCGUGGGCUCAAGUGUCACCAAGUGAGGACAAGUUUCAGUGCACUACACUUGGCUGUUAGCACUGGUAUGAUGUCAACCCAGUCCUCUGUUGAGAAAUGACGUUAUGUUGCAAAAGCUUACAGUUUGUACAAAAUAAACAAUAUCAAUUUG